rnacentral:rRNA from 1 species
CUUGACAAACCAUAAGAGGUCCAGCCUGCCCAGUGACUCUGUUCAACGGCCGCGGUAUCCUAACCGUGCGAAGGUAGCGUAAUCACUUGUUCUUUAAAUGAGGACUAGUAUGAAUGGCACCACGAGGGUUACACUGUCUCCUUCCUCUAAUCAGUGAAACUAAUCUCCCCGUGAAGAAGCGGGGAUAAACCUAUAAGACGAGAAGACCCUAUGGAGCUUUAAACACAGUAACAAUUGCCCUGACACUACCUCAAACCCCCGGGCACAAUCAUUUACUCAGGCACCUUGAUUACAAGUUUUAGGUUGGGGUGACCGCGGAGCAAAAAAUAACCUCCAUAGUGAAAGAGGACUUUUCCCCUAAACCCAGGGCCACAGCCCCAAGAAUCAAAAAAUUGACACCCGUUGACCCAUUUUUAUGACCAACGAAC